UUUGAUAAUAACAGUCAAUUUAUCUAUUUUUUGUAGAGAAGUAAAACAUCAGGUAUACGAAAAAAAAGACUGGAGGAUUAGCUGUCUGAAUCUGCCACCAGCUACUGAUAUCACUACUUCAUUUGAGAAGAAAAAAAAUGAGUUAACCCUGAAAAUUUCACUCAAUUCAAUACACUUUUUUGGUAUGGCUCAGUUAUUCUAGUUCUCACCAAUUGUACAUUAAAUUCCCAAAUUCGUAGCAAGAAAUGAGUGGGCGUUGGAACACGCUUUCAUCACUGAAGCCCAGAUGCAAAUACCUGUCAUGGUCGGACGUCGAAAUUCACAAACUUGUAUAUUUGUACAAAAUGUUCCCAUGUCUUUGGAGAAAAGAUAUUCCCCUCUAUAAUGACAAUGUAGCGCGUCACCUUGCAUAUCGAAAUAUACAUCAAGCAUUGAGCAAGCCUGAUCUCACAUUCACAGGUGUUAUAAUGAAAAUACGAGAGAUUCGCCAUGAAUAUAUAAAUGAUCUGAAAAAAGCUCUGGCUGCAAAACCUUCCGGGCACUGCUACCAACCUAGAUCUACCUGGUUUACAUUUUUACAUCAGUUUCUUUAUCCUUAUUUAGACACCAAUGAGUUAGCUGAACUACAUAAUAUUGAUCAUCACUCGGCUCAUAGUGUUGAUGACAAUGAUUGUCGAAGUGUCUCAGAGACUGUAAUUCGAAGCAAUGCAAAAGUACUAAACAAUAUUGAAGCAACAGAUUAUUGCUCAUCCUAUGCAGAUCGACCUCUGAUGGAAGACUUUAGCAUGGCAUACCCGAAACUAUGUUUUCCCGCAAAUUCAUGUAUGGUAGUUAACGACCAUUGUCUUGAUUGGUUCCAUCCUGUCGAUUCAGAUUUAUGUUAUGAACAAACCACUACUCCAGGGUUAGAUAGUUCGACUUAUUUGCUUUCACAUGGAUUCAAACAUCGGCCCCUGCCAUUAACGUCUUUGCCACUGAAUAUGUGCCAUCAACCAUAUGAUUUCCAUCCAGUAAAUACUGCUAUGAGUUCGUUGGAACUAGAAAAGCGAUACAGUGAAUCCGAGAAUUCUGUGUCAUCAGAAAAAUCUUCCACAACCAUAGUUUGUGAAAGGCGAUCAGAUUCCACUUGCACACCUACAAAAAGCGUUGUAGAAUGUGGAGUGCAGUGGGAAAAUGUUAACACUCAGAAGAAUAGUUGGGCCGUAUCUUACACCACGUCUCCAUUUGAACGAGAGACAAAGGAUUCAUCAAUUGCAGUAGAGCAUGAUGCAUACGAUCGCUUUGCUGAAACCAUUGCCUGCCAUCUCAGAACAAUGGAUGUAGAAACUGCUAUGCAAGCCCAGAAUCAAAUUCAUAAAAUUAUAACAGAUUAUCGGCUGCGAAAACCCGAAACACAAACUAUAAGGCUGGUGAGACCAGAAGUUGAUAAAAGAAGAUCAGUACGCAAAGCCUUGCAUCAAGUUGCCAAAACCUGUCAUGUUUUAGACAAUCACCUAGUUGAACCCCGAGCUGUCGAAAAAACGCUUACAUCUCAAAAAAUCUCUUUGCCACGGUCGACAAAACCUACCCUCAGCCCUACUCGGAAAAAAUUUCGAACCGGAAACCCUGUGUUCGGAGAAAAGAGCUGAUGGGGUGCCUCUAAUAGCGCACUAUUUACUCUACCGUUAUCUAGAUAAUAACAGAUAAUGGCAUUUCCUAAAUAACUUGGUAGACUUCGGAAUUGAAUAUCAUCCAGUAAAUACAAUUUAUCACCGAAAGGAGUUCCGGUUCCAGGAGCACUGUUAGCAAUGAAAUUCAUUUAAAAAUCAGUUGCGCAUUUUGGGGUAAAUAGGCAAACUGUCGAAACAAAAUCAUCAGCCCUGAGAUAUUCCUCAUGUUUGUACCAAGAUCGUGCGAAUUUCUGACAUACUAGAUGAUCUACGACCUCACGAUAUAUUACGUAUUUUCGAACGGGGUUUGCAUCGGUGAAUUGACCUGAAAUGUUUUUCAGAUCAGCUUGGGUGGUGAUACGGAUACAAUUGGAAGCAUGGCUGGAGCCGUUGCAGGUGCAUUUUAUGGGGAAGAGCUAAUCAAGCCAG
rnacentral:misc_RNA from 1 species